CUUUAGAGUAAGAACUUAUAUUUGUUUGUGUCAGAAAAGGGGAAAAAAAAGACAUUAUAUUUGUCUAAUUCAUCUACGCGCGCGCCGGAAGCCCUAUCGCGGCGAAUCCGCUCUCAAAAUUCGCAAGAUGAAGAACGUGGUCUUGGCAGAACUUCGAUGACUCCAGAUUGAAAAUCCCUCCAUGGAUCAAAAUAUCGAAGGACUGCCAGAUUACAAAGAUAUCAAACAAAAUGAAUUUUGUUAUCGGAAACACAAGAAGCAAAAGGAGGAGGAUAUUGCAGUCUGUGAAUGCAAGUUUGAUGCUAAUGAUAACGAUAGUGCUUGUGGGGAGGGGUGUUUGAAUGUACUAACCAGCACUGAGUGUACUCCUGGACAUUGUCCCUCUGGUGUUCAUUGCAGGAAUCAGAGAUUUCAGAAAUGUGAGUAUGCAAGAACAAAGUUGUUCAAAACAGAAGGCCGUGGGUGGGGCCUUUUAGCUGACGAGAAUAUAAAGAAUGGACAAUUUAUUAUUGAAUAUUGUGGGGAAGUUAUUUCUUGGAAGGAAGCAAAACGGAGAUCCCACACUUAUGAAAAUCAGGGACUAAAAGAUGCUUACAUCAUCUCGCUCAAUGCCUCUGAAUCAAUUGAUGCCACUAGAAAGGGAAGUCUUGCUAGAUUUAUAAAUCAUUCGUGCUUCCCAAAUUGUGAGACGAGGAAAUGGAAUGUGUUGGGUGAAAUAAGGGUUGGAAUAUUUGCAAAGCAAGACAUUUCCAUUGGGACUGAAUUGGCAUAUGAUUAUAAUUUCGAAUGGUAUGGAGGUGCCAAGGUUCGCUGCCUCUGUGGUGCGAGCAGCUGUUCAGGAUUUCUUGGAGCCAAGUCUCGUGGCUUCCUGGAGGAUACCUAUUUGUGGGAAGAUGACGAUGAUAGGUAUUCUGUUGAGAAAAUUCCACUGUACGAUUCUGCAGAGGACGAGCCUUUCGUUAAGCUCCACACAGCAUUUAACAACACAUAUUCUGAGUUUGAGGGUUAUCUGAAAAUUGAGAACCCAAUGAUCAUAGACGAUGAUUUGGCAGCUGAACAGCAACUGGGAUCCACUGCGUUCAUUGAUACCUCGAAGAAUACAGUUCAAUUGCAAAAUACAGUUGUAGGAGAAAUUAAAAAUGAACCAAAAGAGGAGCCAGAAGAUCAUCCACAAAAUACGCAGCAGAGCUUUUCACAUCAGAAUGCAAUGAUAUCUCGUAUCCGAAGUAAUACUGCUUGCCGUAAUUAUCGCAUUGGACCUGGACCUGUGGCCAAAAAACGUUCAAGAAACUUGUCUAAUGGAAGGACAAAAAAUUGUACUAUGAAGCAAGUAGAUGCGAAAUAUGUUGCUCGACUAUUGGAGUUAAAGGAAGCACAAGAAGAUGUCUUACAGUAUGAGGAAACAAAGAAUAAAGCAACUGCCGAACUUGAUUCGUUGUACAAUGAAAUACGACCUGCCAUUGAAGAAUAUGAGAGGGAUAGCCAAGACAAUGUAGCUACCAGUGUUGCGGAGAAGUGGAUAGAAGCAAGCUGUUUGAAACUGAAGGCGGAAUUCGAUCUUUAUUCUUCUAUAGUCAGAAAUGUUGCCUGCACUCCUCUAAGGUCAGGUGUCUCUACUGACCCUCAACCUCUUGAAGCGGAUGGCGACAAUGACCUGAAAUUGUUAACUGAUUAGUCUGCUUAUCUCUGAUAAUAUGGAGCUGAAUUAGUUACUAUGGUAAACCAUUUCUAUCGUAUAUUAGUUGAUGGUCGGGAUACGCUAGUUCUUAUGGGAGCCAACCUACAAGGUCUGUGGAGCAAUUCAUAUCGAGGAGUUUUCAGGUUAGAGGUUUUGGCAGAAGGUUUUAGUAAAUGAGCAAAAAUCUAGAGAACAAGGUCCAUCUAAAAAAGGAAAAUAUUUUUUCCCUUCAAUUUUAUAAGAAAUGAGUAGAAGUUGAGUUUUCUUUCUUUUAGAUUACCUCCGUCAGCAACUGGAGAAUUAACUCAAUUGGUUACGGGAUUGAUAAAAAAGGUUAGAGGUAUAAAGUCUAACUCAUGCAUGUUGAAAUAAAUAAAAGUUUAUUAUCAACCAAUUUUAACAUUCACCAAUGAGAGGGAAAAUGUUAAAACAAAGUAGACAAAAUUAAAAAAAUAUUCAAACAUUAGAGACUAAAACAAUAGGUUAAGCCUCAAUAUAAUACAAAAGCUUGUAAAAAUUUAAGACUUCCGCUAAAAACUAAGUUCAUGUAAGCCACAUUGGUUGUCCUAAUAGUCAAUAAAUUAAUAAAAUGAAUUUGAGGAUAAAAUACAAAUUUUUUGUGGAAAUUUGUAAUGCAAUUUCGUUUCUCUGUUGCUUCUCAUGGAAUGGAACUUAGGGUUGGUUUAGAUUGAUUAGAGAAAAAUGAAAACUAUUUUGAGUGGUUACUAAAUAUUUCAAAUGCUGUUUGGAGGGCCUACGAUGGAAUGAGUUUGUAAUGUAAUAUAAUCUUAAAUCCAUAUUUGUGUUGAGUAUUUUAGGCCCGAUUUGUAAUAUCAAAUUCAUUUUGUUUUCACAAUUUUCAAUACAACCCUCUUUCUUGUUUUUACGGUUCACAA